ACUUACCUGAGUACUACGAAUAUUAUAUUUAAAACUCAAAGGGCUUGGCGGUGCCUUAAACUUUUUAGGGGAACCUGUUCCAUAAUCGAUAGUCCACGUUAGACCUUUCCCUUUUUUGCAAAAUUCAGUAUGUAUACCGUCGUCGUCAGGUAACUUUUAAAAAUAUAGAAGUUAGCAAUUAAAGAUAUAAUCUUAAACGUCAGAUCAAGGUGCAGCUUAUAAAAUGGAGAGAAUGGGUUACAAUUAAAAAUCAUAAUUACGGAAAUGGGAUUGAAAUAUCUCAUCGAAGGAGGACUUAAUAGUAAAAGAUCCAUAUAAGAUUUUUGAAUAGAGCUCUAAGGCGUGCACACAUCGCCCGUCACUCUCGA
rnacentral:rRNA from 1 species